rnacentral:rRNA from 1 species
AACGAACGCUGGCGGCAGGCUUAACACAUGCAAGUCGAACGCAUCCUUCGGGGUGAGUGGCAGACGGGUGAGUAACACGUGGGAACGUACCCCUUUGUUCGGAAUAACCCUGGGAAACUAGGGCUAAUACCGGAUACGGCCGAGAGGCGAAAGGUUUACCGCAGAGGGAUCGGCCCGCGUCCGAUUAGCUUGUUGGUGAGGUAAUGGCUCACCAAGGCGACGAUCGGUAGCUGGUCUGAGAGGAUGGCCAGCCACAUUGGGACUGAGACACGGCCCAAACUCCUACGGGAGGCAGCAGUGGGGAAUAUUGGACAAUGGGCGCAAGCCUGAUCCAGCCAUGCCGCGUGAGUGAUGACGGCCUUAGGGUUGUAAAGCUCUUUUACCUGGGAAGAUAAUGACGGUACCAGGAGAAUAAGCCCCGGCUAACUUCGUG